AUUGAACGCCGGCGGCAGGCCUAACACAUGCAAGUCGAGCGGAUGACGGGAGCUUGCUCCUUGAUUCAGCGGCGGACGGGUGAGUAAUGCCUAGGAAUCUGCCUGGUAGUGGGGGGCAACGUUUCGAAAGGAACGCUAAUACCGCAUACGUCCUACGGGAGAAAGCAGGGGACCUUCGGGCCUUGCGCUAUCAGACGAGCCUAGGUCGGAUUAGCUAGUAGGUGAGGUAAUGGCUCACCUAGGCGACGAUCCGUAACUGGUCUGAGAGGAUGAUCAGUCACACUGGAACUGAGACACGGUCCAGACCCCUACGGGAGGCAGCAGUGGGGAAUAUUGGACAAUGGGCGAAAGCCUGAUCCAGCCAUGCCGCGUGUGUGAAGAAGGUCUUCGGAUUGUAAAGCACUUUAAGUUGGGAGGAAGGGCAGUAAGUUAAUACCUUGCUGUUUUGACGUUACCGACAGAAUAAGCACCGGCUAACUCUGUGCCAGCCGCCGCAGUAA
rnacentral:rRNA from 1 species